rnacentral:rRNA from 1 species
GACAGAGGAUGCAAGCGUUAUCCGGAAUGAUUGGGCGUAAAGCGUCUGUAGGUGGCUUUUUAAGUCCGCCGUCAAAUCCCAGGGCUCAACCCUGGACAGGCGGUGGAAACUACCAAGCUGGAGUACGGUAGGGGCAGAGGGAACUUCCGGUGGAGCGGUGAAAUGCGUUGAGAUCGGAAGGAACGCCCGUGGCGAAAGCGAGCCCCUGGACGUCUACUGACGCUGAGACGCGAAAGCCAGGGGAGCGAACGGG